rnacentral:rRNA from 1 species
UAUUGGUCAAUGGACGAGAGUCUGAACCAGCCAAGUCGCGUGAGGGAAGACUGCCCUAUGGGUUGUAAACCUCUUUUAUAAGGGAAGAAUAAGUUCUACGUGUAGAAUGAUGCCUGUACCUUAUGAAUAAGCAUCGGCUAACUCCGUGCCAGCAGCCGCGGUAAUACGGAGGAUGCGAGCGUUAUCCGGAUUUAUUGGGUUUAAAGGGUGCGUAGGCGGUUUAUUAAGUUAGUGGUUAAAUAUUUGAGCUAAACUCAAUUGUGCCAUUAAUACUGGUAAACUGGAGUACAGACGAGGUAGGCGGAAUAAGUUAAGUAGCGGUGAAAUGCAUAGAUAUAACUUAGAACUCCGAUAGCGAAGGCAGCUUACCAGACUGUAACUGACGCUGAUGCACGAGAGCGUGGGUAGCGAACAGGAUUAGAUACCCUGGUAGUCCACGCCGUAAACGAUGCUCACUGGUUCUGUGCGAUAUAUUGUACGGGAUUAAGCGAAAGUAUUAAGUGAGCCACCUGGGGAGUACGUCGGCAACGAUGAAACUCAAAGGAAUUGACGGGGGCCCGCACAAGCGGAGGAACAUGUGGUUUAAUUCGAUGAUACGCGAGGAACCUUACCUGGGUUUAAAUGGGAAAUGCCGUAUUUGGAAACAGAUAUUCUCUUCGGAGCGUUUUUCAAGGUGCUGCAUGGUUGUCGUCAGCUCGUGCCGUGAGGUGUCGGGUUAAGUCCCAUAACGAGCGCAACCCUUACCGUUAGUUGCUAGCAUGUAAUGAUGAGCACUCUAACGGGACUGCCACCGUAAGGUGAGAGGAAGGCGGGGAUGACGUCAAAUCAGCACGGCCCUUACACCCAGGGCUACACACGUGUUACAAUGGCCGGUACAGAGGGCCGCUACCAGGUGACUGGAUGCCAAUCUCAAAAGCCGGUCGUAGUUCGGAUUGGAGUCUGUAACCCGACUCCAUGAAGUUGGAUUCGCUAGUAAUCGCGCAUCAGCCAUGG